rnacentral:miRNA from 1 species
UCACAGGAUUUUUGAGUGUUGC